GCGGCCAUGGUGAAAUGGUUAUCACAUCGGGUUGUGGUCCCGGCGUUACGGGUUCGAUCCCCGUUGGCCGCC
rnacentral:tRNA from 1 species